AUUCCAGCUCCAAUAGCGUAUAUUAAAGUUGUUGCAGUUAAAAAGCUCGUAGUUGAACUUCUUGGCAUCCUUUAAGCUGGCUUCGGUCGUUUCAAGGGUGUCAAUCCGCUAGGGAACUACAUUCGCACUUCACUGUGCGGUGUAAGGAACUGGCAUUCUACUUAGAAAAAAUUAGAGUGUUCAAGGCAGGCUAUCGCCCUGAAUACACAAGCUUGGAAUAAUGAAAUAGGACUAUUUCCAUUUUAUUGGUUAUUGGAUUUAGUAAUGAUUAAUAGGGACAGUUGGGGGCAUUUGUAUUUAAUAGUCAGAGGUGAAAUUCUUGGAUUUAUUAAAGACAAACUUAUGCGAAAGCAUUUGCCAAGGAUGUUUUCAUCA
rnacentral:rRNA from 1 species